CACACACACACUCUCAGGAGAGCACAUCUCAAACGUGGACAUGAGGCAGCAGACCUGACUGUGAAUAGAAUUAUCCCGACCGUGAAAGAAGAUUUCUCCGUGCCGUGUCACGGUGUGGAGCUGUCGACGCGCAGAGCAGCUACGUGGGAUUGUGUGUGUGUGUGUGUGUGUGUGUGUCUGUGAGUCUCUGUGUGUGUGUCUGUGCGUGUGUCUUUGUGUGUGUCUGUGAGUGUCUGUGUGUGUGUCUUUGUGUGUGUCUGUGAGUGUCUGUCUGUGUGUGUCUGUGUGUGUGUCUUUGUGAGUGUCUGUGUGUGUGUCUGUGAAUGUCUUUGUGUGUGUCUGUUACUGUGUCUGUUUGCAUCAUGUCGGACCAGCCACAGUGGAGAUGAAGACCCCCAUAGGGCAGCACGGACCAGCUCACUGCUGGAGCAUGGAGGGGAGGAUGAUGAAUGGAUGAUGGGUGAUUGAUACUCACACACGCACGCACAGUAACAUUAUGAUACAGAGAAAGAGAGUCACCAUGAGAGAGAGAGAGAGAGAGAGAGAGAGAGAGAGAGAGAGAGAGAGAGAGAGAGAGAGAGAGAGAGAG
ensembl:lncRNA